rnacentral:rRNA from 1 species
UACGUAGGGCGCAAGCGUUUGUCCGGAAUUAUUGGGCGUAAAGAGCUCGUAGGUGGCUUGUCACGUCGGGUGUGAAAGCUUGGGGCUUAACUCCAGGUCUGCAUUCGAUACGGGCUGGCUAGAGGUAGGUAGGGGAGAACGGAAUUCCUGGUGUAGCGGUGAAAUGCGCAGAUAUCAGGAGGAACACCGGUGGCGAAGGCGGUUCUCUGGGCCUUACCUGACGCUGAGGAGCGAAAGCGUGGGGAGCGAACAGG